CCGGAAACUCUUCCUCUUCUCCUGGAGAUGGCUGCAGAAGGCAGUGCGGCGUUUCAGCUCUUCUCAACAUUUAACUUCUUCGCGAUUCAACGCGUAGAUGCCAUGCUGCUGCAAAUAACCUGAUGUCUUCACUGUGUUGACCCUUUAAGGUCUCAUGCUGUGGUUGCAGGAGAGGCACGAGAUGCCUAAUCCUUUGUCUCCUUUCCCUGAGGACAGAUAAACAGCAGCAGCAGUAAUGGAGCUACACAGUGACUGGCAGUGAUUUCAUGCCUUUCCUGAUGUGCAAGGUUUUGGAAACACUUGAAUGACCUGGGAGUACACAGAGUGGCCACAAUUGAAAGGUGCGUUGGUGUAGAUGAACCGUAAGAUAAGCUGAUGGAGCUCAUCCAGAGCAGCGUCUCGCUUGCACAAACCAUCCACAUCUCUCAGGUCACAAGGAAACACUGGAUCG